rnacentral:lncRNA from 1 species
UUUGUCUUGUUAAAAUGGUUUUAAAGUGACUUUUGGAACCCCUAAGUACCCUAGGAUGUUAGCCCUCUUUUGAAUGGUGAAAAUUUGAGUUUUGGUAAGUGAAAACAUUCAUGGAGCUAUUAUGAGUUUUCAUGAGUGUUCUUCAAUGUUCUUGAAGUUCUUGCCAAGAACAUAAAGUUUUGAAGUUUUGAUUCAAAAGUUUUAUGUUUUUCAUAAAGUUUUGGUUUAAACUUUGAUGAUUGAGGUUAUUGGUGAGAUGUGAUGAAAUGAUUUUAAUAUUUGUCAUAAUUAGUCAUAGACUUUAUUUUUUCAAACAAAUCAUCACUUUCAUCCUUUUCCUCACCCACCAAAAACCACUAGCAAAAUUUUUUAGAUUUUUUUUCAAAUUUUUCCCAAAUGGCCGGCCACCCCAAGUGGGGUUAUUUUUGGGGCCUUUUGUGCAAUUACAUAAAGUUUUAGAUACUUUUGUGUAUUUGCAUUUUAGCCCAAAAAGUUUACGUUUUUACGUUGUGGCCCAAAUGUUGUGGUCAUAGUUUCCUUUUGGCCCAAAAGGAUGAGAACAAAAU